rnacentral:misc_RNA from 1 species
GAAUGGCCACGUGACGGUGUCAUCCGCGGACCCGCGAAAGAACAGCUCCUGGCAGUGCUGGCGACCAUAAGUAGUGAGAAUGAUAUGUGCAAAACUCGAGGGAUGGAGCGCUCGGAAAGCGCACAGCUUGGCGAGACGAACCGGACAAGUAUCGAAUCGGUUCGAACGAUAGAUGAAGCACGACACUCGUUCGACGAUUCCAUGGACGAUAUACCGACACUAACGUCGAACACGGCCAAUCAACGAGCCAUGUCGUCGUAUACACCGUCUGCGAUCGAUGAUAACGACGACGAUGAUGACGAUGAUGAUGAUGAUGAUGACCAUGACGAUGCCGAGAACACCACCGGCGACGAAAGCGAUGAAGACGCAGCUGCUUGCGUCGAAGAAAUUGUCACCGCAGAAAAAGUCCGAAGGUUGCCGCCCGAAUGGAAAGCCUGCCCUCGAUGCCAUCAGGAGAAGACACGCGCGAGGCAAUCAUCGUCGGAUUUGCCUCGUAUCUCCAUGGUGACAGAUGCAAGCUCUCGCGAGCUCUCCCGCAGUUUCUCACUGGAUCACUGAACGCUCCCGCAUUCGACUCGUGUAUCGCGCGAGGCGUUCAGAAACAACUCGCCUCUACCACCGCUAGCUACUGUCAUACGUUGCGUUCGCGCUGCGCGCUGGAGGAAGGCACGCGACAUCCGUGAUCCACCGGCCCGCGCGCCACCUUCAGGGUCACGAACACCAGCCUCGCAUCCAAGGAUGAUGGUGUUGGUAGGUUCCGACCUGCACGUGCCUUUGCCUGGUUCACGUCCACAGGCGCUACGCAGCAUCGAGCAGAGUUUACACCAAGCAGCUGGAUAUGUCCCGUCUAUUGCGCAAGUCAUCCGAGGCGCAUACGGGGAAACGGAAGCAGCACACGCGUAAGCCUUGUAUCCGUCAUGCGCUCGGAUCCGUACCUAAACACCAUGUAUUACGAAACGUCCUGGAUUGCUGCACGCUCCGUCGCCUAGCUCCGUCAUGUCUGGUGCGUCGGUUGAGGGGUAGCGGAGGCGGCGCGUUGUUGUUGUUGUUGAUGGUGCUGCUGCUGCCGAACAACGCGUUUCGCUACGCGCGUUGGUGCUGGUAUCGACGACUGCGCAACCGGUGGUCGUCUCUCGGGUGCAGGUUGAUCACCAAAGUCAAACAGACUCGGUGCUGGCUGCGAUGGACGCCCGGCAGCAUCUGCGACUGCGACUGUUUCGGCAUCGUUUGUUGGAAUCGAGUCGCCACGGCCGCCAAGGUCGUACUGUUCUAGGGCAUCAUAGUUGAUUUUCUUGCUCGUACGCUUCGAGUGCGUCACUGCGCUGCGCACAGCGUCGCGUACGGAGCGCACGACCGCCUCGACUGCGGCAGGUGCAACUGUACUGGGACGCUCGCCACCAGGCGCUGCUGCUGCUGCUGCUGCUGCUGCUGCUGCUGCUGCUGCUGUCGUUGUUGUUGCAACUGCUGCUGCUGCUGCUGUUGCUGUGGCGCUGUGACUCCAGGGCGCUUCAGCAGCGGCGCUGUUGCUGGCGUUGGAUUUGUAGAAACCACGCAUGUACUCUCGUUUGCGCAUGAGACGCUGGUACCGCUCGGGAUCGUCGCGUUCCCAACGAGCGAUUUCAGCCUCACGCUCGAUCCAUUCCUGGUUCAUCGCCGUCCAUAUUUUCUCCCGAAAGGCAGUUUCCUCGGGCGUGCACACGAACAUAGCCUCCUCCUCGGAGUCGAGGUCGCUGAGCUCUUCGACUCGGUCGCUUAGCCAGCGAUAAUUCGCUCCGCCCUCGGGGCCGGAUCGCGUCGACAGACCAGAUGUACCAGCGAUAACGCCCGUUGUCACCGGGUUUGCGGCACGCUCAUCCGCUGCAGCGCCAAGCGGGGCCAGGGGUCCCGAGGCCUCGCGCCUCACCGAGCCGACGUAGUUCGAGACUGCACCGUGGGACGUUGCCGGUGCCACCAGUACCGUUACGGGUACGCGCUCGCCCUCGGCAGUGGCGGAGGCUUCCAGAAAAGCUCGCUCCUGCUCGGUAAGCGAGGUAUCCGCGACAAUGUCCUGUUCAGCUGCCUUGCUCUGUUCCAGGACGUGGUGUUGCUGCUCGAGCCACUCCAAUGACGACGACGACGACAACGCGUGCCGGCGCCGGAACGCUGGCGGGUCGCAGCCGUCGAGUGUGUCAACUGCCUCAGGUGACACUGCGUUUGCGGAGGUAUCCGCGGUUGCCGCCAGAGGCGCCUCGGUGGUGUCUUCCUCGGCAACGGAUUCGAUCAAGCCCGACUCGGCGGCAAGCUCUCGACCAGUGAGCGUUCCAGUGGGCGUCUCUUCGAUCUCACAGAGUCGCUGGCGAAUGGUCAUAUCACCGACACGAACGACGGCACCUAUUUCACGCUGCGAGCGACGGAAGCCGUGCAUACGAGCUGCAAUGAGCAGUGCUGCCCCACAGAGACCAGCCGGACGCCGCCCAGUAUGGAUCCAGUCCCUCUUCAUUCGACUGAUCAGACGCAGUGCGGUUUGCGCUACUGCAUUCUGCUUCUCGCCCAGAUCUAACCGACUUGCAAACCGGUGAAUGUAAAACGAAG